UUAAGCGACUAAGCGUACACGGUGGAUGCCCUGGCAGUCAGAGGCGAUGAAGGACGUGCUAAUCUGCGAAAAGCGUCGGUAAGGUGAUAUGAACCGUUAUAACCGGCGAUGUCCGAAUGGGGAAACCCAGUGUGAUUCGUCACACUAUCGUUAACUGAAUACAUAGGUUAACGAGGCGAACCGGGGGAACUGAAACAUCUAAGUACCCCGAGGAAAAGAAAUCAACCGAGAUUCCCCCAGUAGCGGCGAGCGAACGGGGAGCAGCCCAGAGUCUGAAUCAGCUUGUGUGUUAGUGGAAUGGUCUGGAAAGUCCGACGGUACAGGGUGAUAGUCCCGUACACCAAAAUGCACAGGCUGUGAACUCGAAGAGUAGGGCGGGACACGUGGUAUCCUGUCUGAAUAUGGGGGGACCAUCCUCCAAGGCUAAAUACUCCUGACUGACCGAUAGUGAACCAGUACCGUGAGGGAAAGGCGAAAAGAACCCCGGCGAGGGGAGUGAAAAAGAACCUGAAACCGUGUACGUACAAGCAGUGGGAGCACCUUCGGGUGUGACUGCGUACCUUUUGUAUAAUGGGUCAGCGACUUAUAUUCUGUAGCAAGGUUAACCGUAUAGGGGAGCCGCAGGGAAACCGAGUCUUAACUGGGCGUUAAGUUGCAGGGUAUAGACCCGAAACCCGGUGAUCUAGCCAUGGGCAGGUUGAAGGUUGGGUAACACUAACUGGAGGACCGAACCGACUAAUGUUGAAAAAUUAGCGGAUGACUUGUGGCUGGGGGUGAAAGGCCAAUCAAACCGGGAGAUAGCUGGUUCUCCCCGAAAGCUAUUUAGGUAGCGCCUCGUAAACUCAUCUUCGGGGGUAGAGCACUGUUUCGGCUAGGGGGUCAUCCCGACUUACCAACCCGAUGCAAACUACGAAUACCGAAGAAUGUUAUCACGGGAGACACACGGCGGGUGCUAACGUCCGUCGUGAAGAGGGAAACAACCCAGACCGCCAGCUAAGGUCCCAAAGUCAUGGUUAAGUGGGAAACGAUGUGGGAAGGCACAGACAGCCAGGAUGUUGGCUUAGAAGCAGCCAUCAUUUAAAGAAAGCGUAAUAGCUCACUGGUCGAGUCGGCCUGCGCGGAAGAUGUAACGGGGCUAAACCAUGCACCGAAGCUGCGGCAGCGACACUAUGUGUUGUUGGGUAGGGGAGCGUUCUGUAAGCCUGCGAAGGUGACCUGUGAGGGUUGCUGGAGGUAUCAGAAGUGCGAAUGCUGACAUAAGUAACGAUAAAGCGGGUGAAAAGCCCGCUCGCCGGAAGACCAAGGGUUCCUGUCCAACGUUAAUCGGGGCAGGGUGAGUCGACCCCUAAGGCGAGGCCGAAAGGCGUAGUCGAUGGGAAACAGGUUAAUAUUCCUGUACUUGGUGUUACUGCGAAGGGGGGACGGAGAAGGCUAUGUUAGCCGGGCGACGGUUGUCCCGGUUUAAGCAUGUAGGCUGAUUAUCCAGGCAAAUCCGGAUAAUCAAGGCUGAGGUGUGAUGACGAGGUACUACGGUACUGAAGUAACAAAUGCCCUGCUUCCAGGAAAAGCCUCUAAGCAUCAGGUAACAUCAAAUCGUACCCCAAACCGACACAGGUGGUCAGGUAGAGAAUACCAAGGCGCUUGAGAGAACUCGGGUGAAGGAACUAGGCAAAAUGGUGCCGUAACUUCGGGAGAAGGCACGCUGGUGUGUAGGUGAAGUCCCUGCGGAUGGAGCUGAGACCAGUCGAAGAUACCAGCUGGCUGCAACUGUUUAUUAAAAACACAGCACUGUGCAAACACGAAAGUGGACGUAUACGGUGUGACGCCUGCCCGGUGCCGGAAGGUUAAUUGAUGGGGUUAUCCGUAAGGAGAAGCUCUUGAUCGAAGCCCCGGUAAACGGCGGCCGUAACUAUAACGGUCCUAAGGUAGCGAAAUUCCUUGUCGGGUAAGUUCCGACCUGCACGAAUGGCGUAAUGAUGGCCAGGCUGUCUCCACCCGAGACUCAGUGAAAUUGAACUCGCUGUGAAGAUGCAGUGUACCCGCGGCAAGACGGAAAGACCCCGUGAACCUUUACUAUAGCUUGACACUGAACAUUGAGCCUUGAUGUGUAGGAUAGGUGGGAGGCUUUGAAGCGUGGACGCCAGUCUGCGUGGAGCCAACCUUGAAAUACCACCCUUUAAUGUUUGAUGUUCUAACGUGGGCCCCUUAUCGGGGUUGCGGACAGUGUCUGGUGGGUAGUUUGACUGGGGCGGUCUCCUCCCAAAGCGUAACGGAGGAGCACGAAGGUUAGCUAAUCCUGGUCGGACAUCAGGAGGUUAGUGCAAUGGCAUAAGCUAGCUUGACUGCGAGCGUGACGGCGCGAGCAGGUGCGAAAGCAGGUCAUAGUGAUCCGGUGGUUCUGAAUGGAAGGGCCAUCGCUCAACGGAUAAAAGGUACUCCGGGGAUAACAGGCUGAUACCGCCCAAGAGUUCAUAUCGACGGCGGUGUUUGGCACCUCGAUGUCGGCUCAUCACAUCCUGGGGCUGAAGUAGGUCCCAAGGGUAUGGCUGUUCGCCAUUUAAAGUGGUACGCGAGCUGGGUUUAGAACGUCGUGAGACAGUUCGGUCCCUAUCUGCCGUGGGCGCUGGAGAAUUGAGGGGGGCUGCUCCUAGUACGAGAGGACCGGAGUGGACGCAUCACUGGUGUUCGGGUUGUCAUGCCAAUGGCACUGCCCGGUAGCUAAAUGCGGAAGAGAUAAGUGCUGAAAGCAUCUAAGCACGAAACUUGCCCCGAGAUGAGUUCUCCCUGAGACU
rnacentral:rRNA from 1 species